GCGUUGGUAGUAUAGCGGUCUAAUACGCCCAGCAAACAAAAAUAUCUUGGUUUAAUAUUUACCCUCAAUAGGGUCGCCAAAUUAAGGUUAUCGUUUAAAUUCAUCUGGGUGACGCAGGUUCAAAUCUUGCCCAACGCGCCA
rnacentral:tRNA from 1 species